rnacentral:rRNA from 1 species
AAUCCUGGAGGAGGCAGCCGGGCGUAAUCCACAAAAGCGGGAGACAGGACGAAGCCGUUCCGGUUGUAAGAUGAAGAUCUUCGUAUUGUAAAAAUCUGUCCAAGGCGAAGAUAAUGACGUACCNANGNGAANCCCCGGUNG